AAAAAAUAUUCACGUUGAGGUUACCUGAAAAGUUAUGUAGUAUUUUUCCACUAGAGUUUUCACGUACCUUCUACGUGAUAGCUUUAGUAGAAAUGAAAUUUGCUUGGACCGGUCGAUUCACGUUCAAUCUACGUGUUUGACAUGUGAAAGCUAAAUGUUUCAGCUAGUGAAACCUAUAUGAACGUUUUAGUAAACUUUAUAGGAACCUUUUAGUCCUGUGGUCUGAUUUCAUUUUUUUUCUUUUGUUCGAAAAAGAAGGGCGAUGCAAGAUUUAAUUUAAAAUCAAAAUUUUAUUGAAUUUUUCUGUUGCUUUUUCGUCGGUAACAAACCGAUAACACGUAAAGGACUUCUUUCUCGGCCUGUCCCUACAAAGAACGCGGGUCGUGACCUUCGGCGCUGCUGUUGGCUGCCGGUGAUCGCGUCACCUCAGCGAUGUGCUGUCGAGUCUCUUGGCCACACGCAGAAUUACCACCGGUAGCAGCGAAACCAGUUCAUGGUCUUGCGUUACAUCAGUCCUGUUGGCCACGAGAUGGUCGCCAAUCGACGGUUUCGCCAAACUGCGUAGGAUUUACUAAAGUUGGAACACCUUUGGCGUCGACUGGCCAGGACCGACGAGAGGGUGAUCGCAACCCGUUGGCCACAUCCGUGGCAUUUUGCACCACGGAAGCACCGGUUGGUAAGGUUCAAAUUGGCCAGAAUUCCAGUGGCCGCCGGGAAAAAGAUGCAUAGAUCGGAUUCUGCAAAAAAAAAUCAUUAAUUAUAAAUAUAAUUAUUCAAAGUUAACUUAA